rnacentral:rRNA from 1 species
GGGAAUAGCCCAGACUAUCAGAUAAGGCCCCUAAAUAUUUACUAAGUGAUUAAGGAUGUAAUAUUACAUAGACAACCAGGAGGUUGGCUUAGAAGCAGCAAUCCUUUAAAAAGUGCGUAAUAGCUUACUGGUCAAGUGAUUUUGCGCCGAAAAUGAACGGGACUAAGUAAAUUGCCGAAGCUAUAGGAUAUAAUUAUCGGUAGAAGAGCGUUUUGUAUUAGGUCGAAGCAGUAACGUAAGUUUUUGUGGACUAAUCAAAAGUGAGAAUGUCGGCUUAAGUAACGAAAAUAUUGGUGGAAAUCCAAUACCCCGAAAACCUAAGGUUUCCUUUGCAAGGUUCGUCCACGAAGGGUUAGUCAGAUCCUAAGAUAAUAUUUAACAGUGUAGUCGAUGGAAAACAGGUUAAUAUUCCUGUACUUUUAUUUGUUUAAUUAAGAAUGACGUAGGAGGCUAGGUUAUCCAAAUUUUGGUUUUUGGUCUAAUUACUUGAGGUUUUGAUAAAUAUUAGAAAAAAUAUUUUGAGUUGAAAGUAAGAAAGCAAAGCAUAUCAUGAUAUGUUGAGUAAUUGAUGUCAUACUACCUAGAAAAGUUCUUGUAAUGAGUAAUAAAUAAAAUCUGUACCGUAAACUGACACAGGUAGGUUAGUUGAGAAUACUAAGGGGAUCGAGGUAACUCUUUCUAAGGAACUCGGCAAAAUGGCUCUGUAACUUCGGGAUAAAGAGUGCCCCUUUGGGGGUCGCAGUGAUAAGAUCUAGACGACUGUUUACCAAAAACACAGGUCUCCGCGAAGUUGUAAAACGAUGUAUGGGGGCUGACGCCUGCUCAGUGCCGGAAGGUUAAAAAAACUUGUUAGCUUUUGCGACGCUUGUAAUUGAAGCCCCGGUGAACAGCGGCCGUAACUAUGACGGUCCUAAGGUAGCGAAAUUCCUUGUCAGGUAAGUUCUGACCCGCACGAAAGGCGUAACGAUCUAGAUACUGUCUCAGAAAGAGGCUCGGUGAAAUAGAAUUGACUGUGAAGAUGCGGUCUACUUACACUUGGACAGAAAGACCCUAUGAAGCUUUACUGUAGGUUGACAUUGUUUUUGGUUUUUCUUUGCGCAGUAAUAGGUGGGAGGCGUAGAACUUGUUUUUCGGAAUUUUGUGAGCCGCAAUUUGAGAUACCACUCUUAGAAAAUUUGAAAUCUAAAAGCAUUUAUAAAUGCUUGACAGUGUCAGUUGGGCAGUUUUACUGGGGCGGUAGCCUCCUAAAAAGUAACGGAGGCGCACAAAGGUUUUUUCAGUCUAGAUGGAAAUUAGAUGUAGAGUGUAAAGGUAUAAAAAAGCUUGAUUGUGAGACCUAUAAGUCGAGCAAGGACGAAAGUCGGUCUUAGUGAUCCAACAAUGCUGAGUGGAAAGGUUGUUGCACGCAAAUAAAAGUUACUCUAGGGAUAACAGGCUGAUCUCCCCCAAGAGUUCACAUCGACGGGGAGGUUUGGCACCUCGAUGUCGGCUCAUCGCAACCUGGGGCAGUAGUAUGUCCCAAGGGUUGGGCUGUUCGCCCAUUAAAGCGGUACGUGAGCUGGGUUCAGAACGUCGAGAGACAGUUCGGUCCAUAUCCGGUGUAAGCGUUAGAGUAUUGAAAUUAGCUUUCCUUAGUACGAGAGGACCGGGAAGGAUGCACCUCUAGUGUACCAGUUUUUGUACCAGCGGAACAUGCUGGGUAGCUACGUGUAGAGUGGAUACUGC